GGGGGCAUUCGGAAACUUAUCCAUAAUUAAUCCUUCAAGUGCAUCUUCUUAAAAUUUCAACCCUUCCUUAUGGUAAAUCACAUAAAAAACAGAUCACAGAGAACGGUGGUCGAGGAUUCCAAUCAUCCUCUCUGUUUGUAAACAAAGCGAGUCACGCGAGGACGAAGGAAACGGCCUCGAGAGUAGGUCUAAAAGUAUCCCCGUGUACUCUGGCAUCCUCACGAUGAAUGACUCCGGCUUCACUGGUUCUUUCUGGUUCGAGUAUACCAACCAACCAUUCACCGAACAGACGACGAGGAGGUCCGCACCGGUUUAAACCGGUACAUCUGCUACCUCAUCGCCGGUGGCUCGAUUAGCGCCAAGCAAUUAUUGAAUACCCGGUCGUUCGACGAUAAGGUUCGUUUCUCUCUUUUAUGUUCACGACUUCCUCAAUCGAGAUACCGAUUUCACGCGAACACUGCCGCGUCUCUUACGUCUCUCGAAUAAAUUCAUAUUUCCGUGUCCCGCGGAUGUAUCAACGGUGCUGGGAUUGUCGUCAAGAAAUGCGAACCGGCGUGUCGAGGACGUACAAGUGCAUACGAGAAUCAGCCUACGAGACUACGGCCGGAUUGCUUGCGAGAUGAACCGGUGCUGGCAUUGCGGUGAGACUGUGCGUUAAAUGGAGAUGAUGCUUUGAAAUGGCCUGUAUGUGACAUCCUCUACGAACUGUUUAUUUUCGGUUCGAUUUACAUGCGAGGCACGCCCAACACCGGAAUCAUUAUUGGCACAGGGACUUUGCCUAGAAUCGGUAUUACAUACGCGUGCCAUAAAAAAGAAAUGUGGAAGAGACUGAGCUGUUGUCGGGACAGGGAGGAGAAAAAGGGAUAUACACGAAGAAAAAUGCGAGCCCCGUGUAGCCUUGCGUGGGUCGGCAAAUCCAUUUGGUGCUCGUCCCCGCUCCACAUCCUCACACCGGAACCAGCGAUGGCUACAAAACGGAAACAACUAUAGAACUUUCCACCCCUUCCACUUUCUACCGGAUUGUACAUACACGCGUGGGUCGUGUCUAUUUUAUCCAUUCCUCCGGACGUCAUACAGACGGAAUAAUGUCAAGGACAUACGGUGGCCAAUCGGUCAAGCUGACAAAUUUGUAAACGAUUCAACCAAGGUACACACUCCUCGCAGAAGAAUGAACUGCGAGCUUGUGUACCUCUGGGAACGGUCAAUCAACUAAUUCGAUCGGAUUGACGACCCCCACUUAACUGUAUGAAUGGAACUUUUUGAAAUUGACUAUCUACAGGGUGAUUCUCUCGCUGCUGGACACAAAGAAACACUGGCGACAAUGAACCCCUUGACCGCACCAUGUCACGUGCCAGCGGGGACCUACCCGAGCCGAGACGACUCUGUGCAGGUACGUAUGUGUGUACGGACCUCUUCAUGGUGCGGUCAAGGGGUUCAUUGUCGCCAGUUCCUUUGUGUCCAGCAGCGAUAGAAUCACCCUGUAUAUAGGGUAUUUCAAGUAAGCUGACGAUCAAUGACCUUAUAUUGAAUCUUAUUUUAUGUUCGGACCAGCUUAUUUGAAAUACCCUGUACAUUUGUAAUUAUUAUGUAUUAUGAAAUUCAAUAUGUAACUGCAAA